AGUGAACGCUGGCGGUGGGCCUAACACAUGCAGGUCGAACGGCAGCACAGUAAGAGCUUGCUCUUACGGGUGGCGAGUGGCGGACGGGUGAGGAAUACAUCGGAAUCUACUUUUUCGUGGGGGAUAACGUAGGGAAACUUACGCUAAUACCGCAUACGACCUACGGGUGAAAGCAGGGGAUCUUCGGACCUUGCGCGAUUGAAUGAGCCGAUGUCGGAUUAGCUAGUUGGCGGGGUAAAGGCCCACCAAGGCGACGAUCCGUAGCUGGUCUGAGAGGAUGAUCAGCCACACUGGAACUGAGACACGGUCCAGACUCCUACGGGAGGCAGCAGUGGGGAAUAUUGGACAAUGGGCGCAAGCCUGAUCCAGCCAUACCGCGUGGGUGAAGAAGGCCUUCGGGUUGUAAAGCCCUUUUGUUGGGAAAGAAAAGCAGCAGGUUAAUACCCCGCUGUUCUGACGGUACCCAAAGAAUAAGCACCGGCUAACUUCGUG
rnacentral:rRNA from 1 species